GUCCAUGGGCGGGCCUUGUCUGGGGAGCCUAGCGGCUCGCCGGUUAUUGGUAAAGCGCUCCGGUCUGCGAACCCCGGCAAUGUGCCCGCUCACCCUG
rnacentral:antisense_RNA from 1 species